CCUACGGGAGGCAGCAGUAGGGAAUUUUGCGCAAUGGGGGAAACCCUGACGCAGCAACGCCGCGUGACCGAUGAAGCUUCCAGGAGCGUAAAGGUCUGUCGUAAGGGAAGAAAAGUUUGGAUGUAAAUAAUGUUCGAACCUGACGGUACCUUACAAGAAAGCACCGGCUAACUUCGUGCCAGCAGCCGCGGUAAUACGAGGGGUGCAAGCGUUGUCCGGAAUCACUGGGCGUAAAGGGUCCGUAGGCGUCUUAAAAAGUCAUUUGUUAAAUACACCGGCUUAACCGGUGACCUGCAUUUGAAACUAUUAAGAUAGAGUAUAGGAGAGGAAAGCGGAAUUCCUGGUGUAGCGGUGACAUGCGUAGAUAUCAGGAGGAACACCAAUGGCGAAGGCAGCUUUCUGGCCUAUUACUGACGCUGAGGGACGAAAGCGUGGGGAGCGAACAGGAUUAGAUACCCUGGUAGUCCACGCCGUAAACGAUGAGUACUUGGUGUCGGGGGAUUCGACCCCUUCGGUACCGGAGCUAACGCAUUAAGUACUCCGCCUGGGAACUACGACCGCAAGGUUGAAACUCAAAGGAAUUGACGG
rnacentral:rRNA from 1 species